UUUUCCUUUCAUCCGCCUCCAGAUCCCAGGUUUGUGCGCCAAAUCGCCGGCUAGUUCGCCGGCGUUUCUCUGAUCUGAAAUCUUCCGUUUUUCCUCUCUUGUCUGGGUUUUGCUUCAUGCUUGAUCUGUUCCUAGGCUGUGAUGAUCAAAAUACCUACCUAUUUUCUGAGGGAUCUCGAUCCCCCUGCAGAGAAACCAAUUAUUUCUUCUGAGCCUUCCAAGAUCUGCGCAGUUUCUUCUACGUUUCACUUUCUUGAUUUUUGCGUUCGAUCUGAUUUUGCAGCGUAUUCUGGAAAACCAGAUUCGAGUUGAUGGGAUGAUAAUCUCUGGCAGAAAAUCGUUUUUAGUGUUGACCAAAAUUACAGACUACAAUUAUCUGAUCAACUCACCUGAUUAUCUUGAUUUCUGCGUUUUAUCUUCUUUUUGUGUGACGGAUUGGGAGAAGUAGAUUUAAUGGUUGAUGUGAUGAUAAUCUUUCACAGAAAAUCAUGUUUAGUGUUGACCAAAUUACAGACUACAAUUAUCUGAUCAACUCUAGAAUCUCAACCGGUCUGUUCUUUCGUUUCUCUGGAUCUUUUCUUCUUAGGUUGAACUUCCUCUGGAUGAGAAGAGGAAGGAAGCAUGGUAAUGUGCACGGAGAUGGACUGAAUUGGUCUGCAUGUCUGCUCGCCCUGACGCCUUCGGGCUUUGAUCUCGCGGGCCUGGAUUUGACCCACACUACCACUUACCAUCUUCAACAUCGAUUAGUUUUCAGUAGUUACCUUGAUUAAUCUGUUAGUAAGUCUAUUUUUCAAUAGCCUGUCGGAUUUGAUUAAGAUAUAUAGACCUCAUCAAUGGCGCAAACUGUGUCAAGUGACCUCUGCAUGUCUGGUCUCGGUGGCUAAUUAGCCAGUUACACGCAGCAGCCACCUUCAUGGCAGCAAUCUCUGUGUGAAUGGUCAGUAAGCCCACCUACAUCGACUUGAUUUGUUGUGCCAAUUGAAGUAAUGACUCUUUCUUGUGCUCACUUCUUUGAUACAUCAACUCGCAUUUGCAUAACUACAGAAUUACUCCACCUGACAGUACAAAGAUAGUUACAGUGAUGAUUUCUUCAACUUAGCGUCAAACUCUGAAUCAGUAAGGUAAAAUUAGUUACAUCAAGUCGGUCAUAAUCUAGUUACAGUAUUAUUGUUUUUUAUUUUAUUUAAUAUUCAGUUUUAGCAAGGCAAUAAAUUAGAGUCUCUGGUGCGCUUCUUAGUAGCGUAAUUCAGCGCUGUACGUUGCCAAGAUGAAACUUGGGCUAAGAUUCUGGCACAGGCCAUUCUUUGAAAUGGCCUUUGCAUUCAACUUGUCCUUACAUAUCUUAGCACUAAAAUGAAUUUGUUUGGAUAGUGGUAUUAUGGAUGCCUUGAGGUAUCUGAUGCCUGGUCUUCUUUCAUGUCCUUGUUUUUCGUUAGAUUGGCAGACAGCGAGAAGGAAACCGGUUUUUGUGACACUGGCUGCUCUGGUACCAGGAGCUGUCUGUUACUAUACCCCCGUUUACACCUAUUAACUAAAUUGUUCUUUCUGUAGGCGGCUUCAGUGUUUCUUUUUAGUAGUUCUUGGUUCUCUGUGAUGAUGAAAACAGAUGACGAGUCUGAUGUAAUCCAUUCUAUUAAACCAUGUGGACAAUCGAGGCAUUUGUCUGAGAGAGCUUAAUUACUUUGUUUGUUAUUUUCCUUUAUAUUAAAAUGAUUGUGUUGCUGACAUGUGGAAGACAAUUGGUGUCUGAUCUAUUUUUUUGAUAAAUUCCUCCCUACUCAUUCUGAAUUUCUAAUGUGAUAGUGCAUUCUGUCAUGGAUGCUGUAGUUGUCUAAAGGAAAAUUUAUCACCAUUUUUGUUAGCUAUAUUUGACUUAAUGGGUGAAGUGAUGAUAUCAUAACCAUACCACAUUUCUGUAUUCACUGUGAUGAUCAAUUUACAUCAUGCACUACCAUCUGAUCUCCCAUUGAUAUUUUUAUAUGUACUUUCAGCUCUGGUAACAUUUACCCAGAAGUGCACAGUGCUUUUAUCCUUGUAGUUUAUCUCCCUGGUUCUAUUUGUUUCAAUUUUCAUAACUUAAAAUGGAUGUGAGGAUCCUUUCCCCAAAUGAUCGACUAUGAUUAUACUAUGCGCAAAUGUAAUCCCAUCAGGGUUCCAAGCCAGAAAUCUGAUCCAUCUUUUCUACUUUUGCUUUUCAUAUUUUAUUGUUGUCUUCUGGUGAGUAGUUUGAAUGCUAGGCAUGUUUCAUUUCUCCAAAUUAUCAUGCACUAUUGAAGAAUUACUCCAAUUGUCACCACCAAUCCAGUUAAGAAUAUUAUUAUUUCUUCAACAUGCAUCAAACUCUAAAUCGAUAAUCCUUUGUAGUUUCUGUUUCUUGUUUUUCAUUUGGUUCAAUCUGAAACUUCUGAAGGCAAUAAAUUAGAGUCUCUGGUGCACUUCUUAAUAGUGUAAUUCAGCGCUGUACGUUGCUGAGAGCUAUCUUUGGGCCAAGAUUCUGGCACAAGCCAUUCUUUGAGAUGGCUUUUGCAUUCAACUUGUCCAUGCAUAUCUUUUCCCUGAACUGAAUUUUGUUUGGAUAGGGGUAUUAGUGAUGCCAUGAGGUAUCUGAUGCUGGGUCUUCUUUCAUGGCCUUGUUUCUCGUUAGAUUGGCAAACAGUGAGAAGGAAACGGGUUUUUGCGACACUGGCUGCUCUCAUACCAGGAGCUUCCUGUUACUAUACACCCGUUUACAUCAAUCAUUUGGUUCUUUUGUUCUCAAUGAUGAUCAACACUGAUUAGAUGUCCGAUUCAAUCCAUUCCAUUAAGCCAUGGGGACAAACUGAGGCAUUUGUCUGAGAGAACAUGUUAGUACUCUUGCUUUGUCGAAAGCACUUUUUUCACAUUUGCCUUUCUAAAUUGUACUAGUUUUUAGUUCUCUGUGAUGAUGAAAACAGAUGGCGAGUCUGAUAUAAUCCAUUCUAUCAAACCAUGUGGACAAUCGAGGCAUUUGUCUGAGAGUCGUGAGGAAAGUUAAUAUAUUUUAAAUAACUAAUUUUCUUUGUUCUAUGAACACCAGGUAUGUCUGGUUUGCAGCAGUAUUUGGGUCACAAACAAUCAUAUUGUAAUCUGGAGAUGCUAAAUAACAUUGACUAUAUCAUGCCUGUAUACUGCAUCAAGUACAAAGGGCAACUUUCUCCGAAAACUGGCACUUUUGGCGACAUGGGCAGACAGGUAGACUCAAGUCAACCCUCUCAGUUUUUUCCGAGGAAAGACACAAUUAAUGUGAUGCCCGUAUACAAUAUGAACUACCCUGUAUGUCUGAUGAUCAUGGUGCGCACCUGUUCUGACCUUUGCUGAAGCACAACCCGGCACCUUUUCCUGCAAGAAGUGAACAACUGACAUAGAAGAUCAAGAAACAAAAUUUACAUCAGGUUGGAUAUACUAAAAUAACUAUUUCGUUACACUUAGUGCUACACUCAUAUUCAGGAAUUGGGUAGUUGUCUAAUGCACUACAAAUAAAACGAACCAGCUGGCUGGGAACGACUUGUGGCGGUAGGCCCAACAACUGAAUCUAAACAAACUGUGUUACGUGACUGAAACCUUACCAGGGAGCUCACAUGAGAUCGAUCAUUAAGAGUCUGUGUGAUCUCUGAUUCAGGGAUUACCUAGGACACGGGAAGGCAUAUGUGGCUUUUCCACCUUGCAUGGGCAGGGCACAAUAGAUCAUUUAUAUCAUAUUGAAAUCCAAUCAUCUAUGUAUGCAUAUAUUUAUUUCAUCUAUUCAUUGUCAAGUGUCUAACUAUGCAUCCACUAAUCCUAUUUAUCCAUCAGUUCCAUGUAUAUGUAUCUCCAAAGGUACAAUCGAGAUAAAUCAUGGGACAUAAAGAAGAGACCAGACCUGACAUUAAAGUGGCUAGAGCAUGAGCACUGUAUAUUUGUCAAGACAGUGGAGAGGGCAUCUUGCCUCCGGUGACAGCAUAAAUGUUCGAUGCCUGAUGGCGGGGGCGCUCAGCAAGGAUGGGCGCGGCGGCACAAUAGAGCAGGAGAAAGAAGCGAGCUGCAAGUGGUUUAGCUAGAAAUUGGAUAACUUGUGUUGCUCGACAACGCUCGUUGGACAUGCGAAGAAGUGUACUAUGGUCGUGUGAAUCGUGCUCACCUUGGCCUCCACGAUUCCCUCGGAAAGAAAAAGUAUACUAUAGUCGUGUGAGCUGCAAGUGCUAAUGCGUGUGAUAGGGAAACCAUGUUACUAUUGCUCUAAUAUUGAUGAUCGUGAUUAACACAUACUCCUGAGGGACUACGGCAUCAAUCAGCAUUGGUCCAGUGCUAACGAACCUGAUCGGGAAACCCUGAAUAGACGUCAGUGCUGCCAUCAAUCAGCAGAACUGCAUUUGAGUUGAGGUCAGAGUACUAUUGUCCCACACCCCAAGAGAUGCAUGGCUUGCACAGAUAUUGACUACUGCUGCCGGAGUUGCAUGGCGAGAGCUGCCCCCUUGCACCGGCCUAUCAUGAAUCAAUUGGAAGAGACCAUCAGGGGCUCGAUGCAGCUGCCGUGAGCCUCCAGGGGAGUGGAGUUUGUUGGGGAAGAAGCAGCAGCAUGGAGAUGGACGUGCAGAGUGCUGGACGCCGCCGGCACUACCCUCCUGGUGGCUGGCGGUGGUGGACGGUCUUCUGGACCCUUGGCGCUUCUUUAGGAUCGGCAGUUGAGGUUCUGUGUGUUUGUAAUCGUCAUCCAUGUACAUGGGACAUAUACCUCCCUUUUAUAUAUAAGCGCUAGGGAACAGGGACUGGACCAAAACGUUGGUUUGGCACCUCCGAUCGUGGUGCAUCUUUACGUUAGAUCGUGAGGCAAAGGCGGUCAACUACUUUUCCUUUCGGUUUCAGGGUGAAUGCGCUGCAUGUGGAGGACGCGACCUUGAUCAGGUAGGACGGCGGCAUGCCGAACAAAAUUUUAUGAAGAUUGAGAAGAUGAAAAUAGAUGGCAUGGAUAUUGAAAGAGAAAGAGUAGUCGGGAGAGAGAAUGAUAGGUCUCCGGAGUUGUGAGAGAGAUUACGGGAGGGGUAAGUUAGGUGUCCAUGAGUUUUUUUAGUUGUGAGAGAGAUUACGUGAAGGAUAUAGGUUAGGUGUGUCCAUGAGUUUUUUUCUUUUUGGAAGGGAUUAAAGAGUGAUCUAAACCGCAAUAAUUUGGUCCCACCAAAUUAACGGCUGCUAAUUACUGAUUAACAUGGGAAUUUCUUAGGAGUCCGUAAUUAGUAUAGGCAUAGAUAGAUAUAUAUACAGAGAAGAGUAUACCUAUCAUAUAGGUUAUAUACAUAUGUCUACAUUUUCUGUAAAAUGUACUGGGAUAGUUUAUGUGUAAUGAGUUACAU